rnacentral:rRNA from 1 species
UACGUAGGGGGCAAGCGUUGUCCGGAUUCAUUGGGCGUAAAGAGCGUGUAGGCGGCCAGGUAGGUCGGUUGUGAAAACUGGAGGCUCAACCUUCAGAGGUCGACCGAAACCAUCUGGCUAGAGUCCGGGAGAGGAGAGUGGAAUUCCUGGUGUAGCGGUGAAAUGCGUAGAUAUUGGGAGGAACACCAGUGGCGAAGGCGGCUCACUGGACUGGUACUGACGCUGAGGCGCGAAAGCGUGGGGAGCAAACAGG